AGACCCGAAACCCGGUGAUCUAGCCAUGGGCAGGUUGAAGGUUGGGUAACACUAACUGGAGGACCGAACCGACUAAUGUUGAAAAAUUAGCGGAUGACCUGUGGCUGGGGGUGAAAGGCCAAUCAAACCGGGAGAUAGCUGGUUCUCCCCGAAAGCUAUUUAGGUAGCGCCUCGUGAAUUCAUCUCCGGGGGUAGAGCACUGUUUCGGCUAGGGGGCCAUCCCGGCUUACCAACCCGAUGCAAACUGCGAAUACCGGAGAAUGUUAUCACGGGAGACACACGGCGGGUGCUAACGUCCGUCGUGAAGAGGGAAACAACCCAGACCGCCAGCUAAGGUCCCAAAGUCAUGGUUAAGUGGGAAACGAUGUGGGAAGGCCCAGACAGCCAGGAUGUUGGCUUAGAAGCAGCCAUCAUUUAAAGAAAGCGUAAUAGCUCACUGGUCGAGUCGGCCUGCGCGGAAGAUGUAACGGGGCUAAACCAUGCACCGAAGCUGCGGCAGCGACACUCAGGUGUUGUUGGGUAGGGGAGCGUUCUGUAAGCCUGUGAAGGUGGCCUGUGAGGGUUGCUGGAGGUAUCAGAAGUGCGAAUGCUGAC
rnacentral:rRNA from 1 species